CACUAUCGUUAACUGAAUACAUAGGUUAACGAGGCGAACCGGGGGAACUGAAACAUCUAAGUACCCCGAGGAAAAGAAAUCAACCGAGAUUCCCCCAGUAGCGGCGAGCGAACGGGGAGCAGCCCAGAGUCUGAAUCAGCUUGUGUGUUAGUGGAACGGUCUGGAAAGUCCGACGGUACAGGGUGAUAGUCCCGUACACCAAAAUGCACAGGCUGUGAACUCGAAGAGUAGGGCGGGACACGUGGUAUCCUGUCUGAAUAUGGGGGGACCAUCCUCCAAGGCUAAAUACUCCUGACUGACCGAUAGUGAACCAGUACCGUGAGGGAAAGGCGAAAAGAACCCCGGCGAGGGGAGUGAAAAAGAACCUGAAACCGUGUACGUACAAGCAGUGGGAGCACCUUCGGGUGUGACUGCGUACCUUUUGUAUAAUGGGUCAGCGACUUAUAUUCUGUAGCAAGGUUAACCGUAUAGGGGAGCCGCAGGGAAACCGAGUCUUAACUGGGCGUUAAGUUGCAGGGUAUAGACCCGAAACCCGGUGAUCUAGCCAUGGGCAGGUUGAAGGUUGGGUAACACUAACUGGAGGACCGAACCGACUAAUGUUGAAAAAUUAGCGGAUGACUUGUGGCUGGGGGUGAAAGGCCAAUCAAACCGGGAGAUAGCUGGUUCUCCCCGAAAGCUAUUUAGGUAGCGCCUCGUGAAUUCAUCUUCGGGGGUAGAGCACUGUUUCGGCUAGGGGGUCAUCCCGACUUACCAACCCGAUGCAAACUACGAAUACCGAAGAAUGUUAUCACGGGAGACACACGGCGGGUGCUAACGUCCGUCGUGAAGAGGGAAACAACCCAGACCGCCAGCUAAGGUCCCAAAGUCAUGGUUAAGUGGGAAACGAUGUGGGAAGGCACAGACAGCCAGGAUGUUGGCUUAGAAGCAGCCAUCAUUUAAAGAAAGCGUAAUAGCUCACUGGUCGAGUCGGCCUGCGCGGAAGAUGUAACGGGGCUAAACCAUGCACCGAAGCUGCGGCAGCGACACUAUGUGUUGUUGGGUAGGGGAGCGUUCUGUAAGCCUGCGAAGGUGACCUGUGAGGGUUGCUGGAGGUAUCAGAAGUGCGAAUGCUGACAUAAGUAACGAUAAAGCGGGUGAAAAGCCCGCUCGCCGGAAGACCAAGGGUUCCUGUCCAACGUUAAUCGGGGCAGGGUGAGUCGACCCCUAAGGCGAGGCCGAAAGGCGUAGUCGAUGGGAAACAGGUUAAUAUUCCUGUACUUGGUGUUACUGCGAAGGGGGGACGGAGAAGGCUAUGUUAGCCGGGCGACGGUUGUCCCGGUUUAAGCAUGUAGGCUGGUUGUCCAGGCAAAUCCGGAUAAUCAAGGCUGAGGUGUGAUGACGAGGCACUACGGUGCUGAAGUAACAAAUGCCCUGCUUCCAGGAAAAGCCUCUAAGCAUCAGGUAACAUCAAAUCGUACCCCAAACCGACACAGGUGGUCAGGUAGAGAAUACCAAGGCGCUUGAGAGAACUCGGGUGAAGGAACUAGGCAAAAUGGUGCCGUAACUUCGGGAGAAGGCACGCUGGUGUGUAGGUGAAGUCCCUGCGGAUGGAGCUGAGACCAGUCGAAGAUACCAGCUGGCUGCAACUGUUUAUUAAAAACACAGCACUGUGCAAACACGAAAGUGGACGUAUACGGUGUGACGCCUGCCCGGUGCCGGAAGGUUAAUUGAUGGGGUUAUCCGUAAGGAGAAGCUCUUGAUCGAAGCCCCGGUAAACGGCGGCCGUAACUAUAACGGUCCUAAGGUAGCGAAAUUCCUUGUCGGGUAAGUUCCGACCUGCACGAAUGGCGUAAUGAUGGCCAGGCUGUCUCCACCCGAGACUCAGUGAAAUUGAACUCGCUGUGAAGAUGCAGUGUACCCGCGGCAAGACGGAAAGACCCCGUGAACCUUUACUAUAGCUUGACACUGAACAUUGAGCCUUGAUGUGUAGGAUAGGUGGGAGGCUUUGAAGCGUGGACGCCAGUCUGCGUGGAGCCAACCUUGAAAUACCACCCUUUAAUGUUUGAUGUUCUAACGUUGGCCCCUUACCGGGGUUGCGGACAGUGUCUGGUGGGUAGUUUGACUGGGGCGGUCUCCUCCCAAAGCGUAACGGAGGAGCACGAAGGUUAGCUAAUCCUGGUCGGACAUCAGGAGGUUAGUGCAAUGGCAUAAGCUAGCUUGACUGCGAGCGUGACGGCGCGAGCAGGUGCGAAAGCAGGUCAUAGUGAUCCGGUGGUUCUGAAUGGAAGGGCCAUCGCUCAACGGAUAAAAGGUACUCCGGGGAUAACAGGCUGAUACCGCCCAAGAGUUCAUAUCGACGGCGGUGUUUGGCACCUCGAUGUCGGCUCAUCACAUCCUGGGGCUGAAGUAGGUCCCAAGGGUAUGGCUGUUCGCCAUUUAAAGUGGUACGCGAGCUGGGUUUAGAACGUCGUGAGACAGUUCGGUCCCUAUCUGCCGUGGGCGCUGGAGAAUUGAGGGGGGCUGCUCCUAGUACGAGAGGACCGGAGUGGACGCAUCACUGGUGUUCGGGUUGUCAUGCCAAUGGCACUGCCCGGUAGCUAAAUGCGGAAGAGAUAAGUGCUGAAAGCAUCUAAGCACGAAACUUGCCCCGAGAUGAGUUCUCCCUGAGACUUUAAGUCUCCUGAAGGAACGUU
rnacentral:rRNA from 1 species